ensembl:lncRNA
GGAAAGGGCAGAAAGGGAUGAGAGAAGAAAAGUUUUGGGAGACUUCUGCAGCAGUGGAGAAAUCUGACGCGUCAAAAGAAGGAGCAGAGAGGACAAAACCACCGACGUAAUAUCUGAUGUAAGCUUUACUUUCAAAUCCUGUUACAUUUAGACCUGGCAGGUUGAACAUAAAAUAAUGCCGAACAAAGAAAAACAAAUACAAAACCAAAAAAGUACAAAUGAUCUAUUUACCAGUUAUCGUCACAACCCUGUACAGCCUUAACAAUGGAGUAAUAAAAAAAAGCUUUGUACAGCACAUACCAAUCUUUACCGAGUGCCAAAGGAUAACACAGCCGAGCCUUUUCGGAUCCUAAAAUACAGCCAAACUUAAAGCUAAGUGAUUGUAGACGGUGCAGAGGGAUGCCAACCAAACGGGGGGGGGGGGGGGUGUUUUCAAAGAACUAGAGGGGGCAAUGGCAUGCGAAAUGUCAAGUGCUGAAAAGGUAGUCAAGCUUUAUAAAAAGAAUUAAAUAAAAGCUCACUGUGCUGCUCACCAUUGGGCAAAAUAAUCAAUAAGUGCUUCAGAAUAUUGGCUUUAGAAAGGAUAGAAACAUGUUGCCUUUUUAAACAUUACACUCCAAACAGGUGGGACAAAAAGAAGUGCAGCAGUUUAUGAUUAAGCUGUAAAACGGCGUUUUAAAAAGAUCGGACACAUUAUUAUUCUUUUUUAAUUCUUUUUGGACCCUGACAAUUAGUUUGACUCAUUCUCAGAAGUCUCAGGUGGUUUCUUUCCACCAAGUGGCACUAGAGUAUAAAAGAUGACGUAGAUAGUACAAGGGGGGUGUUCUUGUGUGUGUGUGUGUGUGUGGGUGUGUGUGUGUGUGUGAGAUGCUCCUUUCACUCCAGAGACGGCAUGCUGGACAUCGACAGAGCAAAACAGAACAAACAGUCGUGUUAAGAGGGACAAUCGAGGCAUCACUCAAGAACAGGAAGUGACGGAUUCAAUCCUAACAUCACAUCCGCGUUGCAUUUUGGUCUCGACAAUUCAUGAUCUCUUUUCUUCUGAUAUGAUUAAAGUAAAACAUUUUUUAAAAAGCAACAAGGAAAAUGGACAAAAGGAGAACAUAAAAAAGACAAUCCCUUAAAACAAUAAGAGAUUUGGGCUUGAAGACCACUUAAAAAAACAAAAGCACUAUAGAUAAGCUUUUCAAAAUAAAAUGCUUGUACUUUACUGCUCUGUCACGCAAAACAUACUUCUUUUUCUUUUGAAUGUUACAGAUAAAUAUUCUCUUAAUCAAAAAGUGCAGCACUGUGCAAAACUGGCUAUCACAAUUUAGCCUGGGACCUUUACUUCCCAGGGAGAACUUGACCUAAACUGGCUAAUUCAUGCAUUUGUUUUAAUUUACGCCCAUUUGCACUGCUAGAAAUGCUUACUUAAUGUGAAACUACGGCCGGAUGAUUGCUGACUUCAUUUACAGCAACUACCGUCCACUUCAACACAUCCAAGUUUGCGCUUAAAAAAAGAAAAGAAAAAGAAAAGGUUUAAGUGCUUUUGGCUUGAAGUGUAAC